GGGAAUGCAACAAGCUGCGGCUAAGACAAAGCAAAAAAGGGGGGUUGAAAAAUAAGAGGACAUCCCCUUUUGGCUAACACUCAACGGAAAAGAAAAAAAACGAAAAGGGGAAAAAGUUUUUUGGUGUUGCCUCGUACAAAAUACUGUUUCCAUUCAAACCAUUGGCAUAUAAUCUUAUCUCAACGAUAAGCCCCAGAUUGAUCGGAGGAAGUUGUACAGAUCGCUCGAGGUGGCGAGUUUGGUAUUUGACACGAAUACUAGACAGCAGUUGACGCGAGCGAGAAUUUUGUUUAUUAGAAUACACGAUUUGAUAGUUCCUGGUGAGCCCUGUGCUUGUUCGUGUAGGCAAAGAGUUUAUUUAUUUGUUAUCGUCUUUUCUUAUGAACUCUUAGAGUCGCUAUAUAGUCAUUUUUAUAAGUGUCAUGGGCAUUCAUUCGUUAUAUUGGACUAGUUACUAGUAUUGUACUUCUUUCCGUAUUUUUGAGAUGAGUUUAGUAUUAUUAUGUUGAUAAGGUUGGUAAUUUGG